GACGAACGCUGGCGGCGUGCUUAACACAUGCAAGUCGAACGGAAAGGCCCUGCUUUUGUGGGGUGCUCGAGUGGCGAACGGGUGAGUAACACGUGAGUAACCUGCCCUUGACUUUGGGAUAACUUCAGGAAACUGGGGCUAAUACCGGAUAGGAGCUCCUGCUGCAUGGUGGGGGUUGGAAAGUUUCGGCGGUUGGGGAUGGACUCGCGGCUUAUCAGCUUGUUGGUGGGGUAGUGGCUUACCAAGGCUUUGACGGGUAGCCGGCCUGAGAGGGUGACCGGCCACAUUGGGACUGAGAUACGGCCCAGACUCGUACGGGAGGCAGCAGUGGGGAAUAUUGCACAAUGGGCGGAAGCCUGAUGCAGCAACGCCGCGUGCGGGAUGACGGCAUUCGGGUUGUAAACCGCUUUCGCCUGUGACGAAGCGUGAGUGACGGUAAUGGGUAAAGAAGCACCGGCUAACUACGUG
rnacentral:rRNA from 1 species